CUGAGACAUCCUGGCCACACUGUGGGCAUCAGGAGUUUGUGUGCACCAUGGCCUGGAUUCCUCUCCUGCUCAUGGUCCUCUUUCACUACACAGGUUCCCUCUCCCAGUCUGUGCUGACUCAGCCGCCCUCCGUCUCUGAAUCGCCUGGAACAACAGCCAAAAUCGCCUUCACCUUGAGCAGUGACCUCAGCGUUCGUGGCACAAAUAUGUAUUGGUAUCAGCAGAAAUCUGGAAGUCACCCUCAGUUUUUCCUAUACUAUUACUCAGACACAGACAAGCAGUUGGGACCUGGGGUCUCUAAUCGUGUUUCUGGAUCCAAAGAUACCUCCACAAAUACAGCUUACUUGCUCAUCUCUGAUCUUCAGUCUGGGGAUGAGGCUGAUUAUUACUGCCAGUUGUAUAAUAACAAUGCACACACAGUGACAGAGAUAUAUGAGGAACUGGAACAAAAACCCUUUGGGGAAGGAGUGAUAGUACAUCGGUAA